rnacentral:tRNA from 3 species
CCCCCCUUAGCUCAGUUGGUUAGAGCAGGCGACUCAUAAUCGCUUGGUCGCUGGUUCAAGUCCGGCAGGGGGGACCA